GAUGAACGCUAGCGGCAGGCCUAAUACAUGCCAGUCGAACGGGUGGUCGCAAGACCACUAGUGGCGCACGGGUGCGUAACGCGUAACCAACCUGCCCCGAUCUGGGGGAUAGCCCGCCGAAAGGCGGAUUAAUACCGCAUAUACCCGCAGCCUGGCAUCAGGCAACGGGGAAAGAUUUAUUGGAUCGGGAUGGGGUUGCGUGACAUUAGCUAGUUGGCGGGGUAAGGGCCCACCAAGGCGACGAUGUCUAGGGGACCUGAGAGGGUGAUCCCCCACACUGGCACUGAGAUACGGGCCAGACUCCUACGGGAGGCAGCAGUAGGGAAUAUUGGGCAAUGGGCGAGAGCCUGACCCAGCCAUGCCGCGUGCCGGAUGAAGGCCUUCUGGGUUGUAAACGGCUUUUCUCAGGGAAGAAAAAGACCUUGCGAGGUACACUGACGGUACCUGAGGAAUAAGCACCGGCUAACUCCGUG
rnacentral:rRNA from 1 species